rnacentral:rRNA from 1 species
AACGAACGCUGGCGGCAUGCCUAACACAUGUAAGUCGAACGAGACCUUCGGGUCUAGUGGCGCACGGGUGCGUAACGCGUGGGAACCUGCCCUUAGGUUCGGAAUAACUCCCCGAAAGGGGUGCUAAUACCGGAUAAUGUCUUCGGACCAAAGAUUUAUCGCCUUUGGAUGGGCCCGCGUUGGAUUAGCUAGUUGGUAGGGUAAAAGCCUACCAAGGCGACGAUCCAUAGCUGGUCUGAGAGGAUGAUCAGCCACACUGGGAAUGAGACACGGCCCAGACUCCUACGGGAGGCAGCAGUGGGGAAUAUUGGACAAUGGGCGAAAGCCUGAUCCAGCAAUGCCGCGUGAGUGAUGAAGGCCUUAGGGUUGUAAAGCUCUUUUACCCGGGAUGAUAAUGACAGUACCGGGAGAAUAAGCGCCGGCUAACUCCGUG